UUUUCCUUGUGUCAUUUAGNGAAGUAUAGGUCGUAACCACGAUCUCCAUAGGUGAACCAUGCGCAUGGAUCAUUA
rnacentral:rRNA from 1 species